CACGUAGGGUGCGAGCGUUAAUCGGAAUUACUGGGCGUAAAGCGUGCGCAGGCGGUUUUGCAAGUCGGAUGUGAAAUCCCCGGGCUUAACCUGGGAAUGGCAUUUGGGACUGCAAGGCUGGAGUGCGGCAGAGGAGACUGGAAUUCCUGGUGUAGCAGUGAAAUGCGUAGAUAUCAGGAGGAACACCGAUGGCGAAGGCAGGUCUCUGGGCUGACACUGACGCUCAUGCACGAAAGCGUGGGGAGCAAACAGG
rnacentral:rRNA from 1 species